CCUCCGUGCUUCAUGGUGGAUUACGUUAUUGUAGUAUGUACAUUCGCGCACAUGUAUUAGGCUAUAGAGAUGUUUACGAUGUAGCCUAACAUAUGCUGGUUUCAAGGUAACCUAAUAGCGUGUAUCUAGAACACACACAGAAAUACAGAACGCAUCGAGGAAGGAGCCACGCGCCCAGCUUCAGUACCUGGUGGACUGGGAGGGGUACUGUCCAGAGGUGUGCUUUUGGGUUCCGGUGGCCGACAUCCUGGUCCCCAACAUUGUCCGGGAUUUUCAUCUACCCCGUCCAGACUGACCUGAUCCUCGCCCUCAGGGCUGUCCUCCUGGCGACAUCGUCCUGCUGCUGGAGCCACGUGUUGGGGGGUGUACUGUCAAGUCUACUCCCGUUCCCUCUCUCCGGCGCUCAACGUCACCGGUCGACUAACCACCGCUCCUGGCAACCCACAUUACGCACAACUGGCAACCAUCACUACGCACAUCUGCUCCCCAUCAUUAUGCACACCUGGACUUCAUCAUUACCUUGAUUACUUCCCAUUUAUUUAGCCCUCAGUAGUCUCAGUCUUCAGGCAGUAUUGGUUUUGUUCACAUUCAGUAUGCGUCUCCUGUUUUGUUUAUCUGCUUACUUCUCAUUGUUAAACUUACCUUCUGCACCUGCUUCCUGACUCCUAUCGUAUAUGUUACAAGAACAAAUAUCUUUCUUGUUCCAUUGGUCAUUAACCUCUAGCGACGAGCAAUCCCGUAUCCGGGAGCGUAAUCAUAGCCUCAAGCUCAUUACCAUAACGCAACAUUUCCUAUUCAUGAAAAUCGCAAAUGAAAUGAAAUAAAUAUAUUGAAACACAAGCUUA